rnacentral:rRNA from 1 species
UACGUAGGGGCCGAGCGUUGUCCGGAGUUAUUGGGCGUAAAGCGCGCGCAGGCGGCCUCGCGCGCCCGACGUGAAAGCCCCCGGCUUAACCGGGGAGGGUCGUUGGGGACGGCGGGGCUUGAGGGCGGGAGAGGUCGGUGGAAUUCCCGGUGUAGUGGUGAAAUGCGUAGAGAUCGGGAGGAACACCUGUGGCGAAGGCGGCCGACUGGGCCGACCCGUGACG